GAACACACACACACUUAGAAAAAAAAGACCGUAAACUCCAUCUCUGCCGCCUAGACACUCAGAUCUAUUCCUCUUCGAUACUAGCUCCAAUCUCUUCGUCCUCAACUCGCCAUGCCUCUCCCCGUUCGACAGCCCCACCUAACAUCGCCCUCUACCCUCUGUUUCUGGUCUGACAGAUGUUCUAUUUCCUUCUCCUUCUCGCGAUUUGUUGAGUUGAGAAAUUAGAUUAGAAGCAUUGAAUUCAACCCAGUCAACCUCACUUUUUUAUCCGUCUCUGUUUCCCUUCGGUCUCUCCGAUUUCAGGGCUGGACAAGAGUCUUUUAGAUCCAUCACCAGAUCAUAUUACAGAGGAGAAGUCGGAGCUUUACUGGUUUAUGACAUCACCAGGGGAGAGACAUUUAUCCAUCUUGCAAGCUGGUUGGAGGAUGCACAGCAACAUGCAAAUCUUAAUAUGAGUAUUAUGCUAAUUGGGAACAAAUGCGAUCUUGCUCACAAGAGAGCUGUUAGCAAAGAGGAAGGAGAACAGUUUGUCAAGGAACAUGACCUGCUAUUCUUAGAAGCAUCUGCAAGAACAUCUCAAAAGGUCGAAGAGGUGACACUGAAUCUUUGAAUAUAUAUGUGUGAUAAUUUAAUUUUGUAUUUACUUUACUUGCCAGUUUAGGCUACACAGUCUAUAGGAGAGGUCAAUCCAAGAAACAAGAGAGCAACACUUUUGAUGCAUGGUGUGCAUAGUUUUUGUAUUUUUAGUUUCAAGUUUGUUUGUGAAACAUUUGGGUAUCUAGUUAAGAUAUUUUGUAUGACUAUGUGAGUAUUUUGGAAAUGUAAGAUAAGAGUGCUUUUGGUAA